rnacentral:rRNA from 1 species
UACGUAGGGGGCAAGCGUUGUCCGGAUUUAUUGGGCGUAAAGAGCGUGUAGGCGGUUUGGUAGGUCCGCUGUGAAAACUCGAGCUCAACCUCGAGACGCCGGUGGAAACCAUCAGACUAGAGUCCGGAAGAGGAGAGUGGAAUUCCUGGUGUAGCGGUGAAAUGCGCAGAUAUCAGGAAGAACACCCGUGGCUAAGGCGGCUCUCUAGUACGG